rnacentral:rRNA from 1 species
AUCUACGGUCAAGUUAGUAAGGGCGCACGGUGGAUGCCUUGGCGCUAGGAGUCGAUGAAGGACGCGGUAAGCUGCGAUAAGCUUCGGGUAGGUGCAAACAACUUUUGAUCCGAAGAUUUCCGAAUGGGGGAACCCACCUCGUUUCAUAGCGGGGUAUCUGCAUCUGAAUCCAUAGGGUGCAGAGGGCAACCAGGGGAACUGAAACAUCUUAGUACCCUGAGGAAAAGAAAGAAAUCUCGAUUCCCUUAGUAGUGGCGAGCGAAAGGGGAACAGCCCAAACUUCGCAGGUGUUAAAGUCUGUAGACGUUGCCUGUGGAGGGUUGUAGGAACCCGCCGAUUCCGCUACAGCGGGGUCAAGGAGUUACAAAACUAUUCUUUAGUCGAAUGGCCUGGAAUGGUCAACGACACAAGGUAAAAGUCCUGUAGACAAAGAGAGUGGUCUCCUGCGGGUCACCUGAGUACGGCGGGACACGUGAAAUCCUGUCGGAAUCUGCCCCGACCACGGGGUAAGGCUAAAUACUCCCUAGCGACCGAUAGUGAACUAGUACCGUGAGGGAAAGGUGAAAAGAACCCCGGGAGGGGAGUGAAAUAGUACCUGAAACCGUGUGCCUACAAGCAGUUCGAGCCGAGCACUCAACUGAACAUCCACGGAGGUGAAGAGUGUAUUAUGUAUACGUCAUUUGCUCUUCGGAUGGACAAAUGUAUGUAGGAUUUACCGCAGACCUUAAGAAAAGGAUUGGGCAGCAUAAUGCAGGUGAAAACACAUCAACGAAAGGAAAACGAUGGACACUUGCUUAUUAUGAGGCUUAUGUUAGCAAGAAAGAUGCAUUGAGGCGAGAAAGAGCCUUAAAGCAGAGAGGACAGGCAAAGCGGUUUCUGAAAGAGAGAAUAAGCGAUAGUAUGGCUUCUGUAGGUGUUGAGUUGAGUGCUUGGUGAGAGCGUGCCUUUUGUAGAAUGAACCGGCGAGUUACGGUGUGUAGCGAGGUUAAGGUUUAAACCGGAGCCGUAGCGAAAGCGAGUCUGAAUAGGGCGUAUAGUUGCAUGCCGUGGACCCGAAGCCGAGUGAUCUAUCCAUGGCCAGGGUGAAGUUCCGGUAAAACGGGAUGGAGGCCCGCACCCACUUCGGUUGAAAACGGAGGGGAUGAGCUGUGGAUCGGAGUGAAAGGCUAAUCAAACUCGGUAAUAGCUGGUUCUCCCCGAAAUAGCUUUAGGGCUAGCCUCAAGCGUUUAGUUUUGGUGGUAGAGCACUGGAUGGACUAGGGGCCCUCACAGGUUACCAAACCCAACCAAACUCCGAAUGCCAAAACUUUAGAGCUUGGGAGUCAGACUGCGGGGGAUAAGCUUCGUGGUCGAGAGGGAAACAGCCCAGACCGUCAGCUAAGGUCCCUAAGUAUGAGCUAAGUGGUAAAGGAUGUGGAGUUGCCCAAACAGCCAGGAUGUUGGCUUAGAAGCAGCAAUCAUUUAAAGAGUGCGUAAUAGCUCACUGGUCGAGUGAUUCUGCGCCGAAAAUUCACGGGGCUCAAGCUCAUCACCGAAGCUGCGGCCGAGCACUCAAUGCGUUGAGUGCUCGGGGUAGGGGAGCAUUGUCUGCGGGAUGAAGUUGCACCGCGAGGUGUGGUGGACUGCAGACAAGAGAGAAUGCCGGUAUAAGUAGCGAGAGACGGGCGAGAAACCCGUCCGCCGUAAGCCCAAGGUUUCCUGGGGAAGGUUAAUCCGCCCAGGGUCAGUCGGGACCUAAGCCGAGGCCGAAAGGCGUAGGCGAUGGAUAACUGGUUAAUAUUCCAGUACCACUGAGUUGCGAUAAAGACGCGAUGGGGUGACGCAGGAGGGUAGAUCAUCGCGGCGUUGGUCGUCCGCGUUCAAGCACGUAGGGGGCCGGAAUAGGCAAAUCCGUUUCGGUAUUCAAACCCUGAGGUGUGAUGACGAGCCGCUUUAGGCGAAGUGAUCAAUCCCACACUGCCGAGAAAAAUCUCUAGCGAGCAAUUCGGUGCCCGUACCCCAAACCGACACAGGUGGGCGAGUAGAGGAUACUAAGGCGAUCGAGAGAACCCUCGUUAAGGAACUCGGCAAAAUGACCCCGUAACUUCGGGAGAAGGGGUACCCCAUUAGUGUGAUUCCCGCCUCUGGCGGGGUGAGCGCGAAGGGGUCGCAGUGAAAUGGCCCAAGCGACUGUUUACUAAAAACACAGGUCUCUGCUAAGUCGUAAGACGACGUAUAGGGGCUGACGCCUGCCCGGUGCCGGAAGGUUACGAGGAGGUGUUAUCCUGAGCUUGUCGAAGGAGAAGCACCAAAUCUAAGCCCCGGUAAACGGCGGCCGUAACUAUAACGGUCCUAAGGUUAGUUGCUGCUAGCCUUAGUAAAAUUCGGCCAUAUGCUGGGAAAUCUGUCCUCUAAAAGGGGUAAAGUAUCUCACGCUACCUUGACGUUAUCGAACACUCGUUCUAUAAUAAGAACAAGCGGUUGAUAACCUAAGGUGACAAAGCGAUGAGUGCAGACAAUCAGCAGGAAAGACUAAGAACUAUUGGAUGGGUUGUCGGGUUUGUUGAUGGAGAAGGAACCUUUUCGGUGGCUAUCCAGCGAAAUCGGACAAUGGCUCUUGGCUGGCAGGUCUUUCCAGAGUUCGUGGUAACACAAGGCGAAAAGAGUCUCACCGCUUUAGAGGAACUUAAAAAGUUCUUCGAAUGCGGUCGGAUUUACGUGAACAAAAGGAAAGACAAUCACCGAGAGCACAUUUACCGAUUCUGCGUAAGAAGCUUAAGCGAUUUUCAGGAAAAGGUAAUACCCUUUUUUGAAGCUAAUCUCUUGAAGACUUCGAAGAGAGAAGAGUUCGAGAGGUUCGUUGCCAUCAUUGAGUUAAUUGCGGAAGGACGACAUUUAACGCAAGAAGGCUUAACUCAAAUUGCUCGAAUAGUGCAGACGAUGAAUCACAAGAAGCCCUCCAGGUUCUUAGGAUCCUCAGAGACUGUACGCCGAACCGAGCACUCAGCGCUCUGAGUGCCUCGGAAGAUACAGUCCGAGCCUCAUAGCGAUAUGGGGAGGUCAGCAAAAAUGACUGACCCGCCUAGCUUUCAAUGCUGGGUCACCAAGUAACAGAACUGAGCGAAAUUCCUUGUCGGGUAAGUUCCGACCUGCACGAAUGGCGCAACGACUUGGGCGCUGUCUCAACGAGGGACUCGGUGAAAUUGUAUUACUCGUGAAGAUGCGAGUUACCCGCGGUAGGACGGAAAGACCCCGGAACCUUUACUGCAGCUUGAUAUUGGACUUUGCUGUAUCAUGUGCAGGAUAGGUGGGAGGCUGAGAAACCCCGGCGUUAGCUGGGGUGGAGCCAACCUUGAGAUACCACCCUUGGUGUAGUGGGGUUCUAACGGUAAGCCGUUAGCCGGCUAUCGGACAGUGUCAGGUGGGCAGUUUGACUGGGGCGGUCGCCUCCUAAACGGUAACGGAGGCGCUCAAAGGUUCCCUCAGCGCGGUUGGCAAUCGCGUGUAGAGUGUAAGGGCAGAAGGGAGCUUAACUGCGAGACAUACAAGUCGAGCAGGUGCGAAAGCAGGACCUAGUGAUCCGGCGGCUCAGUGUGGAAUGGCCGUCGCUCAACGGAUAAAAGGUACUCCGGGGAUAACAGGCUUAUCUCCCCCAAGAGUCCACAUCGACGGGGAGGUUUGGCACCUCGAUGUCGGCCCAUCGCAUCCUGGGGCUGAAGCAGGUCCCAAGGGUUUGGCUGUUCGCCAAUUAAAGCGGUACGCGAGCUGGGUUUAGAACGUCGUGAGACAGUUCGGUCCCUAUCCACCG